UUCCGGUUCGGCCCACCACGAUACCACAAACCCCACCGCCACUCUCUCCCAGCCUCUGCACCGCCCGCCGCCGCUCCCGGCGCGCCGCCGUAGCCAUGCUCCCCCUCGCCCGCGCGGCCUUCCGCAGACUCAGCCCAGCAUCUUCUACCGCGGCAGCGUCAGAUGUGCGCCUCCUCCUCCUCGCGCCGCUCUCCUCCAAGUCGUCGGCGGCCGCGCCGCCGGAGUACCAGAUGCCGUCGGUGACGUGGGGCGUAAUCCAGGGCCGCAAGGAGCGGCUCGUGUCCCGCGUGCUGGCGCUCGACUUCCUCCGCUCCGCCGGCGUCUCCGACCCGGCGGGCGAGCUGGAGGCCGUGGAGCUGCCCUCCUCCCUCGACGUGCUGCAGGAGCGCCUCGACUUCCUCCUCCGCCUCGGCCUCUCCACCGACGACCUCUCCGCCUACCCGUUCCUGCUCGCCUGCUCGCUCCGCAAGAACAUCAUCCCCGUCCUCUCCUACCUCGAGAAGCUGGGCGUCACGCGCGCGCGCCUCGCCGCCUUCGUCCGCGCCUACCCGGCCUGCCUCCACGCCUCCGUCGCCGUCGACCUCGCCCCCAUCGUCAAGGCGCUCCGCGGCCUCGACGUCGACCGCGAGGACAUCCCGCGCGUCCUCGAGCGCUACCCCGACGUCCUCGGCCUCAAGCCCGACGGCACCAUCAGCACCUCCGUCGCCUACCUCGUCGGCAUCGUCGGGGUCGCGCCGCGGGACAUCGGUCCCAUGGUAACUCACUACCCGUUCUUCCUCAGCAUGCGCGUUGGCACCACCAUCAAGCCCUUGUGCGACUACAUCACAUCCCUCGGGCUGCCCAUGCGGAUUCUCGCGAGGAUUAUUGAGAAGCGGCCGUACAUUCUCGGCUAUGAUCUCGAGGAGACCGUCAAACCGAAUGUCGAGGCGUUACUCAGCUUCGGCAUUCGGAAGGAGGUGCUGCCGCUUGUCAUUGCGCAUUACCCAUCUAUUCUUGGCUUGCCUCUGAAAGUGAAGCUUGCGGCGCAGCAGUACUUCUUCAACUUGAAGCUCAAAAUCGACCCUGAUGGGUUUGCCCGAGCUGUCGAGAAGCUGCCGCAGCUCGUGAGCUUGCAUCAGAACGUGAUACUGAAGCCCGUGGAGUUCCUCCGUGGACGGGGGAUUACCGAUGAGGAUGUUGGGCGGAUGCUGGUCCGGUGCCCGCAGAUUCUUCUGCUGCGGAACGAGCUCAUGAAGAACAGUUUUUACUUCUUCAAGAGUGAGCUCAAGCGCCCGAUAAGUGAACUGUUGGAAUUCCCAGAGUACUUUACAUAUAGCUUGGAGUCGAGGAUCAAGCCUAGGUACAUGAGAGUUGCAAGCAAGGGGAUUAGAUGUAGCUUGGAUUGGUUUCUCAACUGCAGCGAUCAGAGGUUUGAGGAAAGGAUGCGGGGGGAUUUUAUUGAAGGGGAUGCACCAGGACCUUCAUUUACAAUGGGCGGGAAGCUUCAGAUGCCUGGCAACCAGUUAGUGUCAGAUGAUGAUAACGAGGAUAGUGAUGACGAGGUGCUAUAUAGGCGGACAGUCAUGCUCUAAUUUGGUGGAAGAUAAUCCAAAAAGGUCUUCCAUGAUGUGGUUCAUCAGCACCAUAAAAGCCAAUGAAAAGGCUUUGGCAUUUGAUGGUGGGUUCUCCUGCCACCAACCACCAGCCAAGGUCACCACCUGGGUGCUGGUCUAAGCAUCGUCUUCUCCGAGAGUGCAAGAGGUACUCAGGUACAGCCUUUGGUUGUUCUGCGUGACCAUGAGGGAUGAAAACAGGACGUCUGUAUAUAAUUCUGAACAGGUGAUCAAAGAAUCGCUCUAGCUAAAGGGAAAUGAAGUACUAUUCGUGAUGAAAAUCUUGUCCCACUGAAAAAGUAGUUGAUCGUUGCACUAGUUGAUUUUUGUUACAUUAGGACAGUGUGUGAUCACACGGUAGGUUCAGAUGUUUGUAACAUGUGGUACAACAUUCUGUCUGUAACUCAAAUCCCCAGCAAUAACAGUAACAUUUGCCCAAUGCUUAAACAGACACCAGUGUACGUCUUA